AUUAUUCCAAUGGUAUAUGGAACAAUUCCAACAUCACAUUGUCAUGUUGAAUUUGAUUAUAAUUGCAAAUCUGAUGAGCAAUGUAAGCUACUAUGCAUGGGAGAUGUAUAUGUCUAUCCUAUCGAUAAGGCGAUGUGUGUGUUACACAAAAAUGAUACUUCAUUUUGUAAAUAUCUAUAUACAUGCGAUACCAAAAAUUGUUAUAAA
rnacentral:lncRNA from 1 species